rnacentral:lncRNA from 1 species
CUCCAGAUUUGCUGUGGGCCCCUCCAGGUAGCAGAGGUGGGGCUUGGACCUUCAGGCAAGAGACAGCACUAAUUAUUAUUAUUAUUAUUAUUAUUAUUAUUACUGAAGGUGGCAUGUGUGAGAAGACAGGCUCUGCUGGAUCGAGAGGACAAUAUCAAUAUUGGGGCCAACGGCAAAGAAGGCGGUUUCUACAUGUGCUGUAGAGAGACCUGAGGGGCAGAUGGGGCUCAUCCACCUGGGAAGGUAGAAGAGUUUGGAUUUGAUACCCCACUUUAUCACUACCCUAAGGAGUCUCAAGGGACGUGGGUGGUGCUGUGGGUUAAACCACAGAGCCUAGGACUUGCCAAUCAGAAGGUCGGCGGUUCGAAUCCCCACGACGGGGUGAGCUCCCAUUGCUCGGUCCCUGCCUCCUGCCCACCUAGCAGUUUGAAAGCACGUCAAAGUGCAAGUAGAUAAAUAAGUACUGCUCCGGCAGAAAGGUAAAUGGCGUUUCUGUGCGCUGCUCUGGUUUGCCAGAAGCGGCUUAGUCAUGCUGGCCACAUGACCCGGGAGCUGUACGCUGGCUCCCUUGGCCAAUAAAGCAAGAUGAGUGCCGCAACCCCAGAGUCGGCCAUGACUGGACCUAAUGGUCAGGGGUCCCUUUACCUUUACCUUUAAGGAGUCUCAAAGCGGCUAACAAUCUCCUUUUCCUUCCUCCCCCACAACAAACACUCUGUGAGGUGAGUGAGGCUGAGAGACUUCAGGGAAGUGUGACUAGCCCAAGGUCACCCAGCAGCUGCAUGUGGAGGAGCGGGGAAGCGAACCCAGUUCACCAGAUUACGAGUCUAUCGCUCUUAACCACUACACCACACUGGCCAUCUAGGAGAAGGAAAACUCUGAUCCUAAACCUCUGCUGCCUUGCAUGACAUCUUCAGGAGAAGAAAAGGCUAAGGCAUAAACCCUACACAAAUCUGGAGCAGAGUCCCUAAGGCGGUUCGAUGGCGCCUUGUACGCCUCCUUCUGGCAACUCCUGAAGCCCAGCUGGUGCCAAACGUCUUGCUCUGCUUUCCUUUGGACCGCACUAGUGAGGCCAAGAGGGAGGUUGCGUCGUCUGGGCAACCCAGGACCUCCAGACACACUGCCCAGGCUUAUGGCCCAAGGAGGUCACUUCGGUGCGGCAGAUGCAGCAAUUUGGCUUCACCCUUGGAGGUGCACUCCAUUGUCACUCGAAACAGAUGGGGGACAACAUUAAGAAGGCCAUGCGUGCAGCUUGCAAGCUUCAGGUGGGCAACAGCCAGCUGCAAAUUAUAACAUAGACACUCUGGGGGCAAGCUGCUCUCCUCCGCUCCACUCUCCCAAUUAACCUCCGUCUCCAAAGCCCGCUCCCAUGGCAUCACCAGGUUCAGGGUACUCCGGGAUGAAGAUUGUGGCUCCUUCCAUGCCUCUCUUGCUAGUCCUUGGGACUAUCACCACACCCAACUUGUUGCUGGAUCUUUUUGGAAGCCUCUCUCAGCAUAUGUGCCUGGGUGCCCUUGAACUUGAACUCUGGUGACCCCUCUUCCUUGCCUGGAAGGCUGUCCGUGUCUGUGCAAUAAACCAGCCGAGGCAGAAUUUGCAUUUCUUGUCUCACCCACAUUUGCUUCUGGCCCUUCCCAACUCUGGCAUGUGGCCCUUGAGAAGCGUAUGCGGCCUUCGGAUUGAAGAAGGUCCCCCAUCCUUGGUCUAGAGCAGGAAUUUGCAAGCCAAUACCUCUUAGUAAUUACAUUUUCAUAGACCUCGAAACCGCUGCUUUCUUUUACCAGGAGAGGGAAUAAAAGAACCACCUUAAGCUUUCACAGAGAGAGGGAGAGAGGGAGAAGAGAGGGAAAGUAAUUUUAUGAGAAGCCAACUUGUAACUAAUUUAAUGUUUACCCAAUAACAAGGACUUCUUGGGGAAAGAAAAAGAAAAAAGCCUUACCUUUCCAGGAGCCGCAGGUAACACUGUCAAUUCAUAAUUGUGCUGAUCCCUUAUUAUCCUCCGCUUUAAUAAAUAAUUUACCUAAAUUAUUAAAAUGAAAAUUUCAACAUUAUUAAAAAUUAACCAGGUUAAAUGAGCAAACAAUAAAUACGCCAGCUUUGUCCUGCGUGACAGGGGUCUGCGGGCUUUUUAUUGCCUUUUUAACUCAAGCGC